UGCCGGUGUUAGUUUCCCGCCCUGUUUCCUUCUCACCUGUUCCUCAUUGUGUGUUAACUACUCAGCCUAUGUAUAUCCUGGGCUGUCAGUGCCACCUUGUUAGAUUGAUCUUACGUUUGGUCUUGGCUUACCUAGUCAGGUCAAAAGGCCCCGUAGUCUGCCUGCCUGGCUCCUGCCGGCCUGGUUCCAGCCUGCCUGGUUCCUGCCUGUCUGGUUCCUGCCUGUUUUUGGCCUUUGCCUGGGUUUCUGUCCUCUGCCUGCUCCCUGACUUCUCUUCAGAAGCAGGCUGUGUUUCACUGGAGGGAGCUGGAGGGAUGGAUGUCUCUAGACCUGCAGGCUGUGUUUCACUGGAGGGAGCUGGAGGGAUGGAUGUCUCUAGACCUGCAGGCUGUGUUUCACUGGAGGGAGCUGGAGGGAUGGAUGUCUCUAGACCUGCAGGCUGUGUUUCACUGGAGGGAGCUGGAGGGAUGGAUGUCUCUAGACCUGCAGGCUGUGUUCAAACAUACAGUUCAGUUACUGUUACACCACUGCAUUAGGUCCUUAGUCAUUCUACUGCAUAUUAGGUAGCACUGUACAAAUACACUUUAUAAAAUUUGACUAAGACCUACAAUUAAUUAGUAACAAGGUGAAACUAACAUUUAACAAUAAGAAUAUCAAUAAUACUAAAGACGAAAUAGCAGUUUAUUAUUAAUGACACAGAGACCACAAAUAAUGGGCUGAACAUACAAGCUCCGUAGAGGGGAGAGGUGUGGAACAGAGACCAGAUGUCCCUUCUCCAGCAGCUCCACCUGGACGGUUAUAGAGUAGAUAAAGUUAGCCUAACAUCACAAACAGAACCUGUAGCUGCUGCUGCAGAGUAGCUAGCUAGCCACCACACAUGAAGGCUUUCCUUUCCCCCUCCUGUUUUCUCCAUUUUCUAAAUUGGAGCACUCAUCAACAAAAUAAUAGAUGUAACAAAAUGUCCAAUAACGUUGCAAAAGUUUCAGAGCAGAUCUCGAAGUAGAUCUCUCGGAGCAGCUCUGAGAGAGUUCUGUACUCUGGUGUACAGACGCUGUCCUGGUGUUUGGGGUCUCUGCACUUCAAAUUAGUCUGGGGAUUUUGAGCAUCAAACAGUAACCCAUCCCCCCACUUUCAGUGAACAAAGUAGGCUACAAGAGGAAACCUCUGAGGACAGCCAAGUGUAUUACCUUAUUUAUUCAUUUAUUUGUUAAUUUGUUACCUCAAGGCAGAACAUGGGG
rnacentral:lncRNA from 1 species